CUCAAAGGCACCUCAGUCGUAGUAUUGCCGGCCUGAGACUCGAACCCACAACCUUAGGGUUAGGAAUCAAACUCUCUAACCACUAUAGGCCACAACUUCCCCACAUAAAUGCACAUGCAAGACAAUUGAAUGCACUUCUUUUUCACAUAGGGCUGCUAAAGUGAUAUUAGAAUGAAUAAAUAAAUCAAAUUCCUAAAUGCAGAUUUAACAAGCUGGGUUUGGAUAAGGUCUCUGGCACAGAGGAGCCCCCAUCUCACUGCCAGGUGGAGGAGAUCCACAUGUUCCAGCCCGUCUACUCGGCUCUCUAAAUGUUGAGAAGAUUGUGUUUAUAGACAUCGGUACAGCACACUCUGUUGCAGUCACAGGUCAGAGCAUUUCAUUUACACUGCAUUUCAGUGUGCUGUGUUGAUUUAGUCUGAGGAUCAACUUAUAAACUAUGAAUGUGCCCUAAAUGCAGAGAAAGGUCAGUGUUUGAGUAACCAGCAUGGGCAGCUUGGUUGCAGUUCCCGCCGAAGCAGUCGAGUGCCCUAUCAAGUGUCAGGACUGCAGGGGAUCACCAUAGCCGCGUGUGGCGAUGCUUUCACUCUGGCUAUCGGAACAGAGGGGGAAGUGUACACCUGGGGUAAAGGCGCACGUGGUCGGCUUGGACGGAAAGAAGAGGAUUCUGGGAAACCAAAGGCAGUGCAGCUCGAUGAGAGCCACCCUUACACUGUCACGUCAGUGGCUUGUUGCCAUGGAAACACACUGUCGGCUGUGAAACAUAAUGUGUAGCCAUAAUUUCUUUUAUGAAUGUUAACAGUUCUUGAAUAGACAUUUAUUGUAAUUAUCUACUGUUGAUUUGGACUUACAAAGGUUGUUGUCAUUGUUAAAACACACUGACUAUAUUCUCCCUCAUAAUUUCUCUCCUCAGCUUUUUUUGAAAGCCCGUUCCAAAGUGACAUCACUGCCUCUGCCCAAAUCACUGCACACACUCAGCUCCUGUCCAUGAGGACACUAGUGUGGAUUCAUUAAGAAUUUUAAGCUAUGCAGUUGUGUUAAUAAUGUAACAGACACUGUAUGUAAAGCUUUUUAUAACAACAACAACAAUUAUUAUUAUUAUUUUUAUGUAGCAUUGUAAAUAAUGCCUGGUUUCUCA
rnacentral:lncRNA from 12 species